rnacentral:misc_RNA from 1 species
GAGUAACACGUGGGCAACCUGCCUGUAAGACUGGGAUAACUUCGGGAAACCGGAGCUAAUACCGGAUAAUUCUUAUCAACUCAUGUUGGUAAGCUAAAAGACGGCGUAAACUGUCACUUACAGAUGGGCCCGCGGCGCAUUAGCUAGUUGGUGUUGUAACGGCUCACCAAGGCAAAGAUCGGUAGCUGGUCUAAGAGGAUGAUCAGCCUCAUNGGUACCGAGACACAGGACNGACUCCUACUAAUGCAGUAGA